CCUGGCGCGAAGGGAGCAGGACCGCCGGACGCCCGGAGAGACGAGAGCCACCCGGGAGUGGCCUGGAGGGCAUGUGAUGGGGUGUAAACUGGACACUCAGAGAGAUGAGAUGCCCAUUAUGAGACAUGGAAUCUUCUUUGAAACGAUUGGGAAGUAGUAUAAAAAGCACUCCGGGGCUGCCCUGGUGGCCGAGGCUUCCCUGGUGACACAGUGGUUGAAAAUCUGCCUGCUAAUGCAGGGGACAAGGGUUCGAGCCCUGGU